rnacentral:misc_RNA from 1 species
GAAAGGAAGAAGAGAACGAACAAAGGUUGUAAACAUGGCUUUUCUUAGCAGAGUUGGAAAAAUAUUUAGUCAGGGUUCUGCAUCAAGGAUCGGUUCAGAUUUUCAGCCUUCCAAGCUGUCUAUCUUUCAAACUUUUAGAUUCAUGUCAAGUUCGAAAAUUUUUGUUGGAGGCCUUUCAUAUGGUACUGAUGAUCAGAGUCUGAGGGAAGCGUUCGCCAAGUAUGGGGAUGUAGUUGAAGCAAGAGUGAUAUUGGAUCGUGAUACUGGUAGAUCCAGAGGUUUUGGGUUUGUCACUUUCAAUGCCAAUGAAGAAGCAUCUAGUGCUAUUCAAGCUCUGGAUGGACAGGAUCUCCAUGGCCGUCGCAUUAGAUGCAACUUUGCAACUGAAAGGGC